GCCGGGCAUGGUGGUGCAUGCCUGAAAUCCCAGCUACCUGGGAGGCUGAGGCAGGAGAAUCGCUUGAACCUGGGAGGUGGAGGUUGCAGUGAGCCAAGAUCGGGCCUCUGCACUCCAGCCUGGGUGACAGAGCAAGACUCUGCCUCAA
rnacentral:SRP_RNA from 1 species